GUGUUGCUACUGUAACCUGUCGUCACAGCUCCACUCCGUCAUCUCCAUGGCAAUGCUUGCCGGAUAAAUCCAGGGCUUGGAUUCCGUCUUCAGCCCAGGUGCGCUAACAAGAAGGAAAAAAUGCUACUCAGGUUUCCCGUGUGCUUUGGAUCUCUUCAUUCAUGCCGUGGGCUAGUUUGUGAAUCUUCUGGAAGACCCGAGUGAUGAGAUCUACAUGAAAUCUACCUGGGAGGGUCCUUGAGAAGAUCCAGAGAACUUCGAUGCACCCAGUGCUUCCACACACACACGCACAGAAAUGCCAGCUCCAGCUCCUGAAUUAUUUUCCCUUACCUCACCAAAUCUUUAAUAACUAAGUAUGUAACUUUGUAUUAGUUAUGCUUGUAAUUAUAAAGUAACCUCCAC
rnacentral:lncRNA from 1 species